rnacentral:rRNA from 1 species
GGGGGGGGGGGGGGGGGGGGGGGGGGGGGGGGGGGGGGGGGGGGGGGGCCGGGGUGGGGGGGGUGCUCGGGGGGGGGGCGGGGGAGGGGCGCGUGGGUAACCUGCCCUGGACUUUGGGGUGACUUCAGGAGACUGGGGCUAAUACCGGAUAGGAGCUCCUGCUGCGUGGUGGGGGUUGGAAAGGUUCGGCGGUUGGGGAUGGACUCGCGGCUUAUCCGCUUGUUGGUGGGGUAGUGGCUUACCAAGGCUUUGACGGGUAGCCGGCCUGAGAGGGUGACCGGCCACAUUGGGACUGAGAUACGGCCCAGACUCCUACGGGAGGCAGCAGUGGGGAAUAUUGCACAAUGGGCGGAAGCCUGAUGCAGCAACGCCGCGUGCGGGAUGACGGCCUUCGGGUUGUAAACCGCUUUCGCCUGUGACGAAGCGUGAGUGACGGUAAUGGGUAAAGAAGCACCGGCUAACUACGUG